CAUCAUAGGAACCUGUAUCAAGUAGGUUUGCUAUAUUAAAGAGGGCAACCAGACCCAUACUAGCCUUCAUGGAAAUGAGAAAGAAGCCUUUCUGAAUGCAGUCACCACAGUUAGGGGCUUCUCUGUUACUAUGAACCACGUCAGUGAAGAUCAGGCUGCAGCUGAGAAGCAGGGCUAAGGCAUGGCACACCAUCAGAAGUAGGAGCAGUUCCAAAGAGCUUCAUCUCUGAAGUGUGACUUCUGAAGAGCACUGCCUGACUUCAAUACCCACGGUCACCUUCCCUUCCAACUGAGGAGUGUGAGACAGAAGGCUGCUGGAAAAUGUAAAGAAAAAAAAAAGGCAUAGCGGCAGGUUCAUCCUUGCAACGACGCUUGCUGGAGUCUCCUUGUUAGAAGAGCAGAAUGUUCCAGAAAUGCAGCAAAGCAGAGCCUGAGCUGAGUCUUCAGGCAUCAGCAGCCUAGUGAAGAAGACAUGUGGCCCAACAGAUAGGUGUGCAGCAAUAAUUAAAGACCUGGUAUCUGGCCAUAGACCUUGGCGGGCCUGUGGUAUGCCUGGAGUCUAGGGAUAAGAACAGCCGCACGUGUGCAUGCAAGUCACCGGGAGCCCUACUGGCCUGUUUUCUAAGUGGA
rnacentral:lncRNA from 1 species